GUGAGGAAUAUUGGUCAAUGGGCGGGAGCCUGAACCAGCCAAGUCGCGUGAAGGAAGAAGGAUCUAUGGUUCGUAAACUUCUUUUGCAGGGGAAUAAAGUGCAGGACGUGUCCUGUUUUGUAUGUACCCUGAGAAUAAGGAUCGGCUAACUCCGUGCCAGCAGCCGCGGUAAUACGGAGGAUCCGAGCGUUAUCCGGAUUUAUUGGGUUUAAAGGGUGCGUAGGUGGUUUGAUAAGUCAGCGGUGAAAGUUUGCAGCUUAACUGUAAAAAUGCCGUUGAAACUGUCGGACUUGAGUGUAAAUGAGGUAGGCGGAAUGCGUGGUGUAGCGGUGAAAUGCAUAGAUAUCACGCAGAACUCCGAUUGCGAAGGCAGCUUACUAAGCUACAACUGACACUGAAGCACGAAAGCGUGGGGAUCAAACAGGAUUAGAAACCCGAGUAGUC
rnacentral:rRNA from 1 species